GAGUGCGAGGCCUUCCGCAAGCGCAUGAUGCUGGCGUACCGCUUCCGGCCCAACCCAUUGAACAACCCACGGCGACCUUACUACUGAGGAGGGCUUUUCCCAACAGAUUUCCUGGGAAUUCUUAUCCCAAACUUCAUUAUCCAUCUCUUUUCUCCUGAUGUUAUCUGGCUUUUUUUGGAAUCACGUCUCCUCCUUCCCCCAUGGAAAAGCUUUCCAGCUUUUUUUGGGGACACGGGGAGGGUUUGGAGCAGCCCCAAAAAUCCCCCAGGGGACUCCAAUUCCGAGGAGUUUGGGAUUUUUGGGAAUGGCUGCUCCGGGAGGGGGUGGGGAUUUUAUUCCUUGAUUUUAUCUUGGAAUCCCAAAUCCGAGAGAUUUUGGGGAAUUUGGGGAACCGGUGCCUCCAGUUUUGCCUCUGGAUGGGCGGAUCUGGCCUGGAUCCGUUGGGAAUUCCAGGAUUUGAUGGAUCCAGGGGGGAUUUAUUCCCUUCCCAGCGAUUUUGCCAACACCUCCUGUGCUUUGGGAUGACAAAGACCUAAAAUUCCAGCACCACACUUUGGAAAAAUCCAGUUGGAUUUUGUUGUCCUAAAAAUGGGAAAAAACACCCUCUGGAAAUACAAAUUUUGUUCAUGGAGUCUGUAAAUAAAAUCAAACUUGUUUGUUC